rnacentral:rRNA from 1 species
UACGGAGGGUGCAAGCGUUGUUCGGAAUUACUGGGCGUAAAGAGUGCGUAGGCGGUUUAAAAAGUUGGGAGUGAAAGCCCGGGGCUCAACCUCGGAAUUGCUUCCAAAACUUUUAAACUUGAGUAUGGUAGAGGAUAGUGGAAUUCUUAGUGUAGGGGUGAAAUCCGUAGAUAUUAAGAGGAACACCAGAGGCGAAGGCGACUAUCUGGGCCAUUACUGACGCUAAGGCACGAAAGCGUGGGGAGCAAACGGG